GCUGCGCAUGCUCAGUGUGUCUUCCCAAACUCCCGCGAGAGACCGCAGGGACCGCCCUGCGGGACUGUGCCGCGCUGCCAGUCUUGCGCCCUCCGGGGGCCAGUGUGGUUAGCGCUCCGCGACUGGGGCCGGAGGGAGUGAGACCAGGCCGCAGACGUCGGCCAAGGCCAGGGGAUGCGAGACAAGGUCAUGUCUCCCAGGAGGCUGGCACAAGGCAGGUCCUUACUAAAUCGUUUCCUCAACCUCUCCGCCCGCCUCGGCCCUCCAGCCCCCUAACACAGCUCUGCGGCUUCACCGCGGCCUCUGGGCCCCAUCCACGCAUUUCCCUCUAGUCGCAGCCACGCAACAGACACACCUGGAAUGUCCACCCGAUGAGGGACGGAAAUUCCCAUCCGCCUGAUUUCAAACAUUUGGAAGCAGUGUCUCCUGGGUUAUGACAAAUAAAUUCCAGUGUGUCACGUGCUACUGCUGUGGCCGUCUCUCUGACAGUCAAAACCAGAACUAACUAUGAAUUUUGAAAUGUCUGAUGGUCAACAAAGUAUUAAUUUCCUCCCUGGAUUGGUUAACAUGACUUGUAAAAUUCAGUUAUUGGCAAGAACUGGCAGGCUGCAUGGGGCACUGCGGUUUCGCUCGUCUGCAGAGACUCCCUUCCUUUCUGCGUGGACAGACUCCUUUGCUGCUUGAGCCCUGGCGUUGUACAGGUUGUAAGCUUCAUGAGAGUAGAAACUUGUCCAUCUUCAUGAGGUGUCCCAAACGUGACCAAGAGUACCAAGCCCGCAGCAGGCAUGUGACAGUAACUAAUGUCGAGUGGAUGUGUAAAUGACUUCCUCCUCCUUCACAGAGGUAUUUGUUUGAAGGUCUGGAGUGGUGGCCUGAGGGGUUGGGGCAAUUCUAGGACAUGACUGUUGGAGAAGCCUAGGGAGAUUUUGUUUUGACAGCAUCUUCUAGCCUCAGCUUUCUUCGUCUGAUGAACUAAGUGCCAGGGGCCCCAUGUCGGUGACCCAUGGGUCCUGUCCUCUUACUGAGGAGGUUCUAACAGAAAGGUCACUUCUCAUAGGGAAAUAUACACAAAAUGUUAUGAUAACUCACAGAGAAAAAAAUGUGACAAUGAGUGUGUAUAUGUCCAUGAAUGACUGAAAAAUUGUGCUGAACACUGGAAUUUGA